rnacentral:rRNA from 1 species
AUUGAACGCUGGCGGCAGGCUUAACACAUGCAAGUCGAGCGGGGAAGGGUAGCUUGCUACCUAACCUAGCGGCGGACGGGUGAGUAAUGCUUAGGAAUCUGCCAUUUAGUGGGGGACAACAUUCCGAAAGGAAUGCUAAUACCGCAUACGUCCUACGGGAGAAAGCAGGGGAUCUUCGGACCUUGCGCUAAAUGAUGAGCCUAAGUCGGAUUAGCUAGUUGGCGGGGUAAAGGCCUACCAAGACGACGAUCUGUAGCGGGUCUCAGAGGAUGAUCCGCCACACUGGGACUGAGACACGGCCCAGACUCCUACGGGAGGCAGCAAUGGGGAAUAUUGGACAAUGGGCAGAAGCCUGAUCCAGCCAUGCCGCGUGUGUGAAGAAGGCCUUAUGGUUGUAAAGCACUUUAAGCGAGGAGGAGGCUACUUAGAUUAAUACUCUGGGAUAGUGGACGUUACUCGCAGAAUAAGCACCGGCUAACUCUGUGCCAGCCGCCGCGGUAA